GAAAAACCUCUGAAGAAGGAGAAAGUCUGGAAGUUUGCCGAGUGCCUGCUGACAGAGGACGACACCCGAGUCGCCAAUUACCUACGGCAGGCACUGCAGUACCUGCAGAGCCCACAGGAGUCCCUGAGAGCAGCGGCCAUCAGGUUCAUUGGGCUCGCCGGGAGGACAGUGAGGAGGCAUCCGCAAGACCUCGAGGUGCUCUGCAGAGCCCUUGAACACACGACAGAUGACAGAAGCGGUGCCGUGUCAGACCUUGCACUUGAAACAUUGUAUGUCCUCCGGGCAAUACAGAGUGGGCGAUAUUCCAUCUUCCAGAGGCUUCAACAUCGGUUCCGCAGG